AUUGAACGCUGGCGGCAGGCCUAACACAUGCAAGUCGAGCGAGCGGCGGACGGGUGAGUAAUGUAUGGGGACUGCCCGAUAGAGGGGGAUAACUACUGGAAACGGUAGCUAAUACCGCAUACUAUCGGAUAACCCAUAUGGGAUUAGCUGGUAGGUGAGGUAAUGGCUCACCUAGGCGACGAUCCCUAGCUGGCCUGAGAGGAUGAUCAGCCACACUGGGACUGAGACACGGCCCAGACUCCUACGGAGGCAGCAGUUGGGAAUAUUGCGCAAUGGGCGAAAGCCUGAUGCAGCCACGCCGCGUGUAUGAAGAAGGCCUUAGGGUUGUAAAGCUCUUUCAGUCGGGAGGCGUUACCGACAUAAAAAGCCCCGGCUAACUCCGUGCCAGCAGCCGCGGUAAUUC
rnacentral:rRNA from 1 species